CCUACGGGAGGCAGCAGUAGGGAAUCUUCCGCAAUGGACGAAAGUCUGACGGAGCAACGCCGCGUGAACGAUGAAGGCCUUCGGGUCGUAAAGUUCUGUUGUUAGGGAAGAACAAGUGCUAGUUAAAUAAGCUGGCACCUUGACGGUACCUAACCAGAAAGCCACGGCUAACUACGUGCCAGCAGCCGCGGUAAUACGUAGGUGGCAAGCGUUGUCCGGAAUUAUUGGGCGUAAAGCGCACGCAGGCGGUUUCUUAAGUCUGAUGUGAAAGCCCCCGGCUCAACCGGGGAGGGUCAUUGGAAACUGGGAAACUUGAGUGCAGAAGAGGAAAGUGGAAUUCCAAGUGUAGCGGUGAAAUGCGUAGAGAUUUGGAGGAACACCAGUGGCGAAGGCGACUUUCUGGUCUGUAACUGACGCUGAGGCGCGAAAGCGUGGGGAGCAAACAGGAUUAGAUACCCUGGUAGUCCACGCUGUAAACGAUGAGUGCUAAGUGUUAGAGGGUUUCCGCCCUUUAGUGCUGAAGUUAACGCAUUAAGCACUCCGCCUGGGGAGUACGGUCGCAAGACUUGAAAACUUAAAGGAAUUGACGG
rnacentral:rRNA from 1 species